rnacentral:tRNA from 1 species
GAGUGUUAGCUCAGUUGGGAGAGCAUCUGCCUUACAAGCAGAGGGUCGGGGGUUCGAGCCCCUCACACUCC